UACGUAGGGGGCAAGCGUUGUCCGGAAUCAUUGGGCGUAAAGAGCGUGUAGGCGGCCCGGUAAGUCCGCUGUGAAAGUCCAGGGCUCAACCCUGGGAUGCCGGUGGAUACUGUCGGGCUCGAGUCCGGAAGAGGAGUGUGGAAUUCCUGGUGUAGCGGUGAAAUGCGCAGAUAUCAGGAAGAACACCUGUGGCGAAGGCGGCUUCUGGGACGGUACUGACGCUGAGACGCGAAAGCGUGGGGAGCGAACAGG
rnacentral:rRNA from 1 species